ensembl:lncRNA
UAACAAAUGACGGCAGGCUGAGUGAAAAGCUUGACAUUUUGUAGGACUCCACAUAAGGUGUAACAUGCUCAAAUGAGUUUUUGGGCCUAUACAAUACCAGACAAGAGGCAUGGGUGACUCAGAUGGUCUGAGUGUCUGUAUGGAGAUUGUUGUUGUUCAGUCACCCAGUCGUGUCUGACUCUUUGCAACCCCAUGGACUGCAGCACGCCAGACCUCCAUGUCCCUCACCAUCUCCCGAAGUUUGCCAAGUUCUUGUCCAUUGCAUUGGUGAUGCCAUCCAGCCAUCUCAUCCUCUGACGCCCUCUUCUCCUUCUGCCCUCAAUCUUUCCCAGCAUCAGGGACUUUUCCAAUGAGACGGCUGUUCGAAUCAGAUGACCAAAAUACUUCAGCUUCAGCGUCAGUUUUUCCAACAAGUAUUUAGGGUUGAUUUCCCUUAAGAUUGACUGGUUUGAUCUCCUUGCUGUCCUAGGGACUGUCAGGAGUCUUCAGCAUCACAGUUUGAAGGUAUCAAU